UGGGCGUGGCUAUCUCCAUGCAGGUUGCAGUCAGGUGGGAAUCAUCAGCAGUAAUCACCUCCCCUUCCCCCCCCAGUAUAAGAAGACCGGCUUGAGAUUCACUCAUUGCCAGAUCGUUCAGUCAGCUCGAGCGCCUUUCGUGCUCUACCCUCUCCGCCUGCCUGCCUGCCUGCUUGCCCAUCACUUGCCAAACCUGUUCGGAAAGGAUUUGUUUUUCCACGCAGAGGACGCCAUCGCCACGUGGAGGGACGCCACUCUAUUUCACUGGGCACGAUCUGGAGAGCUCACCACCACUCAUCAACCACCACUGGAAUCUCGUGAAAUUAACCCUGGUGACUUUGUUGCACAUUAAAUCACUUUCACCUUGACUCUUUGUUGUCGUGUCUUGCUCUUGCGUCCAGUUUCCAAUGUGCAUCGUUCACAACACUUGGGUUGUAUCAGCAUGAAUUGAAACUAUAAAAUGUGUGUGUAUAUAUUACCUAUGGUAAGAAUGAAUCAAUGUUGAUUAAUAUUGUUCUCUUAUAUGUGUUGUCCCUAAAUUAAGAUGGUAACAUUUAAAUAUUGAGUAUUUCACAGUCAUGAUGUACAAUAUUUGAAUGUUGAGUUCAUUGACAGUAAUCUUUUAAUUUUUAAUAUGUUACUCUACUUCACUCUUGGCAGGUUUGUAUCAGAAUGAGAAUGUUCACCUUAUAAUGGAAUAAAGCAGUGAAGUCACACAUC